UACGUAGGGUCCGAGCGUUGUCCGGAAUUACUGGGCGUAAAGAGCUCGUAGGUGGUUUGUCGCGUUGUUCGUGAAAACUCACAGCUCAACUGUGGGCGUGCGGGCGAUACGGGCAGACUGGAGUACUGCAGGGGAGACUGGAAUUCCUGGUGUAGCGGUGAAAUGCGCAGAUAUCAGGAGGAACACCGAUGGCGAAGGCAGGUCUCUGGGCAUUAACUGACGCUGAGGAGCGAAAGCAUGGGGAGCGAACAGG
rnacentral:rRNA from 1 species